AUUGAACGCUGGCGGCAGGCCUAACACAUGCAAGUCGAGCGAGUGGCGGACGGGUGAGUAAUGUCUGGGGAACUGCCCGAUGGAGGGGGAUAACUACUGGAAACGGUAGCUAAUACCGCAUACUAUCGGAUGUACCCAUAUGGGAUUAGCUAGUAGGUGGGGUAAAGGCUCACCUAGGCGACGAUCCCUAGCUGGUCUGAGAGGAUGACCAGCCACACUGGACCUGAGACACGGCCCAGACUCCUACGGGAGGCAGCAGUGGGGAAUAUUGCACAAUGGGCGCAAGCCUGAUGCAGCCAUGCCGCGUGUAUGAAGAAGGCCUUCGGGUUGUAAAGUACUUUCAGCGGGGAGGCGUUACCCGCAGAAGAAGCACCGGCUAACUCCGUGCCAGCAGCCGCGGUAAUAC
rnacentral:rRNA from 1 species